UGUUUCGCCCCACCAAUGGAUGUAAGUCGCCAUUUAGUAUUUUUCCAGAAUGGAAAGUGGUUAUCUAUUGUCAAAAAAAGACCCCAUUGCAGAUGUCAGCCGGAUGGCCGCUGUGGAAACAUGCUGCGCUUCCAAUAUAAAGAAUCCGGAUUCAAUUCCCGGUCCCAUACCUCAGUUUUUCAGGAAGAAUCCAUUCCCAAUUGAAAGAGACGUAAAACUACAUAGAAAACCUCUCUGUAGAGACGAUAGCUUGUUUUUCUAAACCAUUUAAUAUAGUCGGCCGGAUUGGCAGCGUGGAAACUUUGAAGGCCGGGUUCGAACCUAGAGUCCCAUGAAAAUAUCAUGAGGUUUGGGCCCGGUCCGUCGAUCCCCCGUCCUCCACAGUCCGGCUGGCCCCUCCGCAGGCGUGGGCGGCCUGUGGAGGGACUUGUUUCGCCCCGCUACUUGG
rnacentral:lncRNA from 1 species